UACAGAGGGGGCAAGCGUUGUUCGGAAUUACUGGGCGUAAAGGGCGCGUAGGCGGCCUUCUAAGUCGAACGUGAAAUCCCUGGGCUCAACCCAGGAACUGCGUCCGAUACUGGAAGGCUUGAAUCCGGGAGAGGGAUGCGGAAUUCCAGGUGUAGCGGUGAAAUGCGUAGAUAUUGGGAGGAACACCAGUGGCGAAGGCGGCUCACUGGACCGGUACUGACGCUGAGGCGCGAAAGCGUGGGGAGCAAACAGG
rnacentral:rRNA from 1 species